UGGGGAAUAUUGGACAAUGGGCGCAAGCCUGAUCCAGCCAUGCCGCGUGUGUGAAGAAGGUCUUCGGAUUGUAAAGCACUUUAAGUUGGGAGGAAGGGCCAUUACCUAAUACGUGAUGGUUUUGACGUUACCGACAGAAUAAGCACCGGCUAACUCUGUGCCAGCAGCCGCGGUAAUACAGAGGGUGCAAGCGUUAAUCGGAAUUACUGGGCGUAAAGCGCGCGUAGGUGGUUUGUUAAGUUGGAUGUGAAAUCCCCGGGCUCAACCUGGGAACUGCAUUCAAAACUGACUGACUAGAGUAUGGUAGAGGGUGGUGGAAUUUCCUGUGUAGCGGUGAAAUGCGUAGAUAUAGGAAGGAACACCAGUGGCGAAGGCGACCACCUGGACUGAUACUGACACUGAGGUGCGAAAGCGUGGGGAGCAAACAGGAUUAGAUACCCAAGUAGUCCCUGAGCGGGCUGGCAAGGCGCAU
rnacentral:rRNA from 1 species